rnacentral:rRNA from 1 species
GUGUCAGCCGCCGCGGUAAUACGUAGGGGGCUAGCGUUGUCCGGAUUUAUUGGGCGUAAAGCGCACGCAGGCGGCGCGGCAAGUGAUCGGUGAAAUCCUCCGGCUCAACUGGAGGGGGUCCGGUCGGACUGCCGUGCUCGAGGUCGCGAGGGGGAAGCGGAAUUCCCGGUGUAGUGGUGGAAUGCGUAGAUAUCGGGAGGAACACCAGUGGCGAAGGCGGCUUCCUGGCGCGAUUCUGACGCUGAGGUGCGAAAGCGUGGGGAGCGAUCCGGAUUAGAAACCCGUGUAGUCC